rnacentral:rRNA from 1 species
GAGUGGCGAACGGGUGAGUAACACGUGGGUGAUCUGCCCUGCACUUUGGGAUAAGCCUGGGAAACUGGGUCUAAUACCGAAUAUGACCGCGCACUUCCUGGUGUGUGGUGGAAAGCUUUUGCGGUGUGGGAUGGGCCCGCGGCCUAUCAGCUUGUUGGUGGGGUAAUGGCCUACCAAGGCGACGACGGGUAGCCGGCCUGAGAGGGUGACCGGCCACACUGGGACUGAGAUACGGCCCAGACUCCUACGGGAGGCAGCAGUGGGGAAUAUUGCACAAUGGGCGCAAGCCUGAUGCAGCGACGCCGCGUGAGGGAUGACGGCCUUCGGGUUGUAAACCUCUUUCAAUAGGGACGAAGCGCAAGUGACGGUACCUAUAGAAGAAGGACCGGCCAACUACGUGCCAGCAGCCGCGGUAAUACGUAGGGUCCGAGCGUUGUCCGGAAUUACUGGGCGUAAAGAGCUCGUAGGUGGUUUGUCGCGUUGUUCGUGAAAACUCACAGCUUAACUGUGGGCGUGCGGGCGAUACGGGCAGACUAGAGUACUGCAGGGGAGACUGGAAUUCCU